rnacentral:rRNA from 1 species
GAUGAACGCUGGCGGCGUGCCUAAUACAUGCAAGUCGAGCGAACGGACGAGAAGCUUGCUUUUCUGAUGUUAGCGGCGGACGGGUGAGUAACACGUGGAUAACCUACCUAUAAGACUGGGAUAACUUCGGGAAACCGGAGCUAAUACCGGAUAAUAUUUUGAACCGCAUGGUUCAAAAGUGAAAGACGGUCUUGCUGUCACUUAUAGAUGGAUCCGCGCUGCAUUAGCUAGUUGGUAAGGUAACGGCUUACCAAGGCAACGAUGCAUAGCCGACCUGAGAGGGUGAUCGGCCACACUGGAACUGAGACACGGUCCAGACGCCUACGGGAGGCAGCAGUAGGGAAUCUUCCGCAAUGGGCGAAAGCCUUACGGAGCAACGCCGCGUGAGUGAUGAAGGUCUUCGGAUCGUAAAACUCUGUUAUUAGGGAAGAACAUAUGUGUAAGUAACUGUGCACAUCUUGACGGUACCUAAUCAGAAAGCCACGGCUAACUACGUG